AUAGAGUUCAGCACUAUUCAUGUUUUCAGGCAUUCACUAAGGGUCUUGAAAUGUAUCCCCCAUGUAUAAGAGGAAAUUACUGUACUUAAGGGGGCGGUCAGGACAACAAGGGCGGGCUCAGGACAACAAAGGCAAACUCGGGAGCGCAGGAGAUGCUCAGGACAGCCGGGAGCAUUGAGAACCACCAGGGGGUGCUCCAGACACCAGGGGGUGUUCAGGACACCAGGAUGCGCUCAGGAAACAAGGAGGCGCUCCGGACACCAGGGUCCCUCAGAACCAC
rnacentral:lncRNA from 1 species